UACGUAGGGGGCUAGCGUUGUCCGGAUUUAUUGGGCGUAAAGAGCGUGUAGGCGGCCAGGUAGGUCUGCUGUGAAAACUCGAGGCUUAACCUCGAGAUGUCGGCGGAAACCAUCUGGCUAGAGUCCGGAAGAGGAGAGUGGAAUUCCAGGUGUAGCGGUGAAAUGCGUAGAUAUCUGGAGGAACACCGGUGGCGAAGGCGGCAUCCUGGACCGACAUUGACGCUGAUGAGCGAAAGCCAGGGGAGCAAACGGG
rnacentral:rRNA from 1 species